GGACUGUUUUCUUUCACAUGGCACAGACUACAUGCCAGGAAACGAUGCGAAGGAGACCCUGACUGACUCAAGGCACUUUUUCCCCACAUGGAGAUCUCAUGGAAAUUGUUACAUACAACCUGCCCCUUCUAAGGCAAACAAGACUCUGCUUGCUCACACAGCCAUGACAAGAAUAAAUUCAGGUUGCUAAUGCUACUGCUCCUGGAUCAUGUUGCUGGAUCAAGCACAGAGGCUCCAGGUUCCGAUAUUUCAUAGAGCUAAGGUGUUCAGCUGGAAAUUCUGCCUGAAACUCCGCCUAGGCCCCACUCCUCAGAAAACCGCCAAAAGUCCAGGCUCCUCCCCCAAAGCUCAAGACCGCCAUCUACACGGUGUGCCUCCGCCAAGAAGCCUUCUCUAAAAAUCCCCACCUCCAGCCAUUUUCUCUGUGGUCUCCUUGUCAUGGACUUCGCUCUACGUUCAUCCGGGUCCCGAUCAACAAGAGACCGAGGGAAUUUCUGCAGACAGCGGCCAAAAGAUGAAUUGAAGUACCUGGACAGGCACCAGGGACACACCUCUAGCUAGGGGUGCCCUUCACUUCACGGUUGGCCUUUAUUUAUUUGGGUAUUUGUGGGGUACUCAGUGCUAACGAUUGCUGUGUGGAUCCUUGGUUUAUAAAAUGUAUUGUGGCCACUUUAUAAAUAUUGAUGUAAGAAAUCAAAAUGCCACACAAUGCGUUUG